UCGCGAAAACUUCACAAUGGGGGAAACCCCGAUGAGGGAAUUCCAAGUGCCAGCACAUUGUGUUGGCUGUUCUUUGGUCUAAAAAACCAGAGAAGUAAGGGCCGGGUAAGACGGGUGCCAGCCGCCGCGGUAAUACCCGCGGCCCGAGUGGUGGUCGAUAUUAUUGAGCCUAAAACGUCCGUAGCCGGUUUUGUAAAUCCUUGGGUAAAUCGACCAGCUUAACUGUUCGAAGUCCGGGGAGACUGCAAGACUUGGGAUCGGGAGAGGUGAGAGGUACUUCAGGGGUAGGGGUGAAAUCUUGUAAUCCUUGAAGGACCACCAGUGGCGAAGGCGUCUCACCAGAACGGACCUGACGGCAAGGGACGAAAGCUAGGGGCACGAACC
rnacentral:rRNA from 1 species